rnacentral:rRNA from 1 species
UACGGAGGGGGGCGAGCGUUAUUCGGAAUUAUUGGGCGUAAAGGGCGCGUAGGCGGCUUGACAAGUCAAAGGUGAAAUCCCUCGGCUCAACUGAGGAACUGCCUUUGAAACUGUCAGGCUUGAGGCCGGGAGGGGGUAGCGGAAUUCCCAGUGUAGCGGUGAAAUGCGUAGAUAUUGGGAGGAACACCAGUGGCGAAGGCGGCUACCUGGACCGGUACUGACGCUGAGGUGCGAAAGCGUGGGGAGCAAACAGGG